GCCCUCGUCGUUCAAUGGACAGGACGGGAGUUUGCGGAACUCCAAAUAGGGGUUCGAUUCCUCUCGGGGGCA
rnacentral:tRNA from 1 species